CGAGAAGGGGAAGUAACCCGGCGAAAGUCGGACUAAUACCGCAUAAACAGGGGCACCGCAUGGUGAUAUUUGUUAAGAAAUUCGCUGAUAGAUGGGCAUGCGUUCCAUUAGGUAGUUGGUGAGGUAACGGCUCACCAAGCCGACGAUGGAUAGGGGAACUGAGAGGUUGGUCCCCCCACACUGGUACUGAGACACGGACCAGACUCCUACGGGAGGCAGCAGUGAGGAAUAUUGGUCAAUGGGCGGGAGCCUGAACCAGCCAAGUCGCGUGAAAAGGAAGAAGGAUCUAUGGUUCGUAAACUUCUUUUGCAGGGGAAUAAAGUGCAGGACGUGUCCUGUUUUGUAUGUACCCUGAGAAUAAGGAUCGGCUAACUCCGUGCCAGCCGCAGC
rnacentral:rRNA from 1 species